rnacentral:rRNA from 1 species
UGAGGAAUAUUGGACAAUGGGUGGAAGCCUGAUCCAGCCAUCCCGCGUGAAGGAUGACGGUUCUAUGGAUUGUAAACUUCUUUUGUACAGGGAUAAACCUGCCCUCGUGAGGGCAGCUGAAGGUACUGUACGAAUAAGCACCGGCUAACUCCGUGCCAGCAGCCGCGGUAAUACGGAGGGUGCGAGCGUUAUCCGGAUUUAUUGGGUUUAAAGGGUCCGUAGGCGGGCCUGUAAGUCAGUGGUGAAAUCUCAUAGCUUAACGAUGAAACUGCCAUUGAUACUGCAGGCCUUGAGUAAAUUUGAAGUGGCUGGAAUAAGUAGUGUAGCGGUGAAAUGCAUAGAUAUUACUUAGAACACCGAUUGCGAAGGCAGGUCACUAAGAUUUAACUGACGCUGAUGGACGAAAGCGUGGGGAGCGAACA